CACCAGGUUGAUUCUGCCUGACGUGGACGCUUGUUUCAAGGAUUUAGCCAUGCAUGUCUAAGCGAAGCCUUUGAGUGAAGCUGCGAAUGGCUCAGUAAUACAGUUACUAUUUACUCGGUGGUAAUAAAUGGAUAACCAUGGUAACCUAUGGCUAAUACAUGGAUAAGAUUAUCUUUCAAUGAAUUGGGAUAAUAUUACAGCGUUUAGCGACACCGACUAAGUUUCUGGCCUAUCAGCUAACAGAAGGUAAGGUAAGGGCCUACCUUUGCGAUGACGGGUAACGGGGGAUCGGGGUUUGAUUCCGGAGAGGGAGCCUGAGAAAUGGCUGCUACGUCCAAGGAUGGCAGCAGGCGCGAAAAUUACCCAAUCCCGACAUGGGGAGGUAGUGACGAAACGUACGAGCAUUUAAAUAUGCAGAAUGAGCGCAGGGUAAAUAACUGUGUGAUUAACGACUGGAGGGCAAGUCUGGUGCCAGCAGCCGCGGUAAUUCCAGCUCCAGUAGCGUCUAUGUGUGUUGCUGCAGUUAAAAAGUCCGUAGUUGAUCUGAAGAGAAUGAUAUAACUGUACGCGAGUAUGGAUAUUCAUUUUCGUAUUACUGUGAGUAAAUUACGGUGUUCAAAGCAGGUAUUUUUAGCCUGAGUACGUUAGCAUGGAAUAACAAGGAAUUGUUUGGUUUUAAUUAGACAAUGAGAUUGAUAGGAGCAGUUGGGGGCGAUAGUAUUCUACAGUUAGAGGUGAAAUUCGAUGACCUGUGGAGGACUAACAGAAGCGAAGGCGUUCGUCAGGGAUGCAUUCGUUAAUCAAGGACGUAAGCCGGAGGAUCGAAGGCGAUUAGAGACCGUCGUAGUUCCGGCCGUAAACUAUGCCGACAGGGUGAGGUUAAAUAAUUAUAAGAUUUAGCUGUGCCUGAAGAGAAAUCAAGAGUUUUUGGGCUCUGGGGAAAGUACGAACGCAAGUUUGAAACUUAAAUCGAAAUUGACGGAAGGACACCACAAGGAGUGGAGCGUGCGGCUUAAUUUGACUCAACGCGGGACAACUCACCAGGGCCGAAUGGCAAAGAGAUUGACAUGAUGAGGAUCAUAUCAAGAUAUGUCAGAAAGUGGUGCAUGGCCGUUCUCAACACGUGGGGUGACCUGUCUGGUUAAUUCCGAUAACGCGUGAGACCCUUAGGUGGAGGAAACUAAACCGACGGGAGGCGAAGAGCCUCAGGAAGCGGGGGGCGAUAACAGGUCUGUGAUGCCCUUAGAUGUUCUGGGUUGCACGCGCGCUACAAUUGUACAUGUAAAAGGAGUAUACUUGAAAGAGUAGAAAAGGUUAAUAUGUACGGAAGCAGGGAUAGACUGUUGUAAAAGAGUCUUGAACGAGGAAUUCCUAGUAAUCGUGACUCACUAUGUCGCGAUGAAUGAGUCCCUGUCCUUUGUACACACCGCCCGUCGUUAUCUAAGAUGGAUGUGAGGGUGAAAUGGCUGGAAAAGAAUAAUAUUCUUUGAAGGCAGUUAAAUCCUUGCAACUAGAUUGGAUACAAGUCGUAACAAGGUAACC
rnacentral:rRNA from 1 species